rnacentral:rRNA from 1 species
GGCUGAGUAACACGUGGGCAACCUGCCCCCUCCACCGGGACAGCCUCGGGAAACCGUGGGUAAUACCGGAUACUCCGGGACGGCCGCAUGGCCGGCCCGGGAAAGCCCAGACGGGAGGGGAUGGGCCCGCGGCCUGUUAGCUAGUCGGCGGGGUAACGGCCCACCGAGGCGAUUAUGGGUAGCCGGGUUGAGAGACCGACCGGCCAGAUUGGGACUGAGACACGGCCCAGACUCCUACGGGAGGCAGCAGUGGGGAAUCUUGCGCAAUGGGCGGAAGCCUGACGCAGCGACGCCGCGUGCGGGACGAAGGCCUUCGGGUCGUAAACCGCUUUCAGCAGGGACGAGGCCCUCACGGUGACGGUACCUGCAGAAGAAGCCCCGGCUAACUACGUGCCAGCAGCCGCGGUAAUACGUAGGGGGCGAGCGUUAUCCGGAUUCAUUGGGCGUAAAGCGCGCGUAGGCGGCCUGUUAGGUCGGGGGUCAAAUACCGGGGCUCAACCCCGGUCCGCCCCCGAUACCGGCAGGCUUGAGUCUGGUAGGGGAAGGCGGAAUUCCCAGUGUAGCGGUGGAAUGCGCAGAUAUUGCGAAGAACACCGGCGGCGAAGGCGGCCUUCUGGGCCACGACUGACGCUGAGGCGCGAAAGCUAGGGGAGCGAACAGGAUUAGAUACCCUGGUAGUCCUAGCCGUAAACGAUGGAAGCUAGGUGUGGGGG